GGGUUCCUGACUUCCUGUUCCAUUCGGCCAUCCCAUUCCACCCGCCUCCACCCCUCCCUUUCUGUCUUUUCCGACCUCCCAUCCCCGCCUCCCACCGACACCGGCGCCGCUGCCUCUCCCACCGACGCCUCCCUCCCUUUCUCCAGUCCCAGCAGGCAGCAGCAGCAGUACAGCUCGUCCCUGCAGGCAGCAGCAGCUCGUCCCUUGCACCGGAAAUAUUAACUAUAGCUAUUUGAGAUUCGACUACAUUUAGUAUUACAUGCUUGUUCCGUAGAAGGUGUGGAUUCUCCCUUGUAUGCACUUGAGUUAAACCCUGAAAGGGAGAGGGAAGAAUUGAGUUCCAGAGGACAGCACGAUGAAGGGGCAGUUAGAAACAUCAUGGACAGUAGUAUGGGCUUCGGGUGGCUUGUUGGCAAGGUGAGAACAUGUAUUACUUGUCAGUUUGCCUUUCUUAUGUUGCCCUUAGUUUCAGAGAUUUAUUCGGUUCCUCAACUUUUCUGUGAAUUAUGGCAUCUGUUGUAGAUUUAUGAUCAAAGAAGAUAUACAAAGACAAAACUGAUAACCGUUGCACUCAUUUAGCAAAUUAAGCCUUAGUUUCACUUAUGUAAGGGUAAAGUAGCUGCUGAGUAGGAAGCUCGUUGUGUAUUUCAUAUCAAAUAUAUUUUUGUUAAUUCUCAUGGUGGGUUAUGGAAAGAGGAAUUGCUUGGAACAGUUGCUUUCGGUUCGAUGGAGCUGGAGCUAUGUAAUGAGUAAUAUCUUACUCUUCAGCUGAUUUGAGCAUGUAAUACUAAAUGUAGUCGAAUCUCAAAUAGCUAUAGUUAAUAUUUCAGGCUUUUGAUUGUAAUGUGUGUUUAUUGUGAUUUGUGGUUAAAUUGUUGCUUAGGUUGGGAAUUUAUUUAUUAGAAUUAGAUUUGUUCUUGUUUUUUUAAUAUAACCUUACAAGUCUUUAUAAAA